rnacentral:lncRNA from 1 species
GGGAACAGAAAAAGCACGAGUAUCAUGAGGCGGUCAAAAACCGCUACAAGCACCUUCCUGAAAUCAAGCGUAUUGUGAGGUACAAAAGGAUGAGGCCUGCUGUUAUUUGUUUGUUUCAGCGAACAUGGAAUUAUAAUCAUUAUUUCUUGUUAAAAUAAUGAAUUGUAUUUUGACAUGUAAAAUGGCCAACCAUUUUUAGUCUGUAUUUCUCACCUAUCUGUUGUUGUGAAUGGUGAUUGUGCAGGCAUAGGCACCUACCGAAACCAAUAUACAAGGCAGGUAAGCAAAUUCGUGAACAAAAUGAAUCUCAGAGAAAGAAGCAAGAGAAGAGGAAGGCGCACAGUGCCCCAGGAAGCAUAGUUGAAGAGCCAUUACGGAAAAGAAAAAUCAUCAAAGUCGAGUG